rnacentral:rRNA from 1 species
UACGUAGGGUGCGAGCGUUAAUCGGAAUUACUGGGCGUAAAGCGUGCGCAGGCGGUUAUAUAAGACAGAUGUGAAAUCCCCGGGCUCAACCUGGGACCUGCAUUUGUGACUGUAUAGCUAGAGUACGGUAGAGGGGAUGGAAUUCCGCGUGUAGCAGUGAAAUGCGUAGAUAUGCGGAGGAACACCGAUGGCGAAGGCAAUCCCCUGGACCUGUACUGACGCUCAUGCA